rnacentral:miRNA from 1 species
AUGAUGUAUAGCAAAGAGCCU